rnacentral:rRNA from 1 species
GACGUAGGAGGCGAGCGUUAUCCGGAUUCAUUGGGCGUAAAGGGCAAGUAGGCGGUUGUCAAAGUUGGGCGUGACAUCUCCUGGCUUAACUAGGAGGGGUCGUUCAAAACUAGGCGACUAGAGGGCAGAAGAGGAAAGCGGAACUCCUGAUGUAGCGGUGGAAUGCUCAGAUAUCAGGAAGAACACCAGUGGCGAAGGCGGCUUUCUGGUCUGCACCUGACGCUGAGAGGCGAAGGCCAGGGUAGCGAACGGGCUUAGAUACCCGGGUAGGUCCCU